rnacentral:rRNA from 1 species
CUGGUUGAUCCUGCCAGACCCGACUGCUAUCAGAAUGAGAUUAAGCCAUGCGAGUCAACGUAGCAAUACGUGGCACACGGCUCAGUAACACGUAGUCAACAUAACCAGAGGACGUGGAUAAACUCGGGAAACUGAGGCUAAACCGCGAUAGACCAAGAUACCUGGAAUGGUUUUUGAUCAAAAUCUAUAUGGCCUUUGGAUUGGACUGCGACCGAUCAGGCUGUUGGUGAGGUAAUGGCCCACCAAACCUGUAACCGGUACGGGCUCUGAGAGGAGGAGCCCGGAGAUGGGUACAGAGAAAAGGACCCAGGCCCUAUGGGGCGCAGCAGGCGCGAAACCUCUGCAAUAGGCGAAAGCCUGACAGGGUUACUCUGAGUGAUUUCCGUUAAGGAGAUCUUUUGGCACCCCUAAAAAUGGUGCAGAAUAAGGGGUGGGCAAGUCUGGUGUCAGCCGCCGCGGUAAUACCAGCACCCCGAGUGGUCGGGACGAUUAUUGGGCCUAAAGCAUCCGUAGCCGGCCUUACAAGUCCUCCGUUAAAUCCAGCUGCUUAACAGAUGGGCUGCGGAGGAUACUAUAAGACUAGGAGGCAGGAGAGGCAAGCGGUACUCAGUGGGUAGGGGUAAAAUCCGUUGAUCCAUUGAAGACCACCAGUGGCGAAGGCGGCUUGCCAGAAUGCGCUCGACGGUGAGGGAUGAAAGCUGGGGGAGCAAACCGGAUUAGAUACCCGGGUAGUCCCA